rnacentral:rRNA from 1 species
GAGUUUGAACCUGGCUCAGGAUGAACGCUGGCGGCGUGCUUAACACAUGCAAGUCGAACGAAGCAUGUAAAACAAUCCUUCGGGUGCAUUUUAUAUGACUGAGUGGCGGACGGGUGAGUAACGCGUGGGGAACCUGCCGUAUGCAGGGGGACAACAGUCAGAAAUGACUGCUAAUACCGCAUAAGCACACAAUGCUGCAUGGCAUGGUGUGAAAAGAUUUAUCGGCAUACGAUGGCCCCGCGUCUGAUUAGCCAGUUGGCAGGGUAACGGCCUACCAAAGCAACGAUCAGUAGCCGGCUUGAGAGAGUGACCGGCCACAUUGGGACUGAGACACGGCCCAGACUCCUACGGGAGGCAGCAGUGGGGAAUAUUGCACAAUGGGGGAAACCCUGAUGCAGCGACGCCGCGUGAGUGAUGAAGUAUUUCGGUAUGUAAAGCUCUAUCAGCAGGGAAGAAUAGGUCAUCAGCCUUUGGCUGGUGACAUGAAUGACG